AUAUAACAAAAUUAUUCGCCAGAGUACUACCAGCAACAGCUUAAAACUCAAAGGACUUGGCGGUGCUUCACACCCUUCUAGAGGAGCCUGUUCUAUAAUCGAUAAACCCCGAUAAACCUCACCAAUCCUUGCUAAUACAGUCUAUAUACCGCCAUCUUCAGCAAACCCUAAAAAGGAACAAAAGUAAGCAUAAUCAUAAUACACAAAAACGUUAGGUCAAGGUGUAACCUAUGGAAUGGAAAGAAAUGGGCUACAUUUUCUAUCUCAAGAAAAUCCAAUACGAAAGUUAUUAUGAAACUAAUAACCAAAGGAGGAUUUAGUAGUAAACUAAGAAUAGAGUGCUUAGUUGAAUUAGGCCAUGAAGCACGCACACACCGCC
rnacentral:rRNA from 1 species